UACGUAGGGUGCAAGCGUUGUCCGGAAUUAUUGGGCGUAAAGAGCUCGUAGGCGGUUUGUUGCGUCGGCUGUGAAAACCUGAGGCUCAACCUCAGGCCUGCAGUCGAUACGAGCAGACUAGAGUGUUGCAGGGGAGACUGGAAUUCCUGGCGUAGCGGUGAAAUGCGCAGAUAUCAGGAGGAACACCGGUGGCGAAGGCGGGUCUCUGGGCAACAACUGACGCUGAGGAGCGAAAGCGUGGGGAGCGAACAGG
rnacentral:rRNA from 1 species